rnacentral:snoRNA from 9 species
UUUUGCUGAGGAGGUGAUGAAUAUCAGAGGAUGAGCCUAGAGCUCUUCCUAUGUUGCAAAAUAACUGAUUUGCCUAUCUGAUCCAAAG